rnacentral:tRNA from 1 species
GCUUUAGCUCAGUGGUAGAGCGUGGGAUUGCAGCCUCCUGCGAUUAUCCUAAGGUCACUUGUUCGAACCAGGUAGGGAGCU